UGGGGAAUCUUGCACAAUGGGCGCAAGCCUGAUGCAGCGACGCCGCGUGCGGGAUGACGGCCUUCGGGUUGUAAACCGCUUUCAGCAGGGACGAAGCGAUAAGUGACGGUACCUGCAGAAGAAGCCCCGGCCAACUACGUGCCAGCAGCCGCGGUAAUACGUAGGGGGCGAGCGUUGUCCGGAUUUAUUGGGCGUAAAGAGCUCGUAGGUGGCUGUUCAAGUCGGGUGUGAAAUCCCAAGGCUUAACUUUGGGUCUGCAUUCGAUACUGGGUGGCUUGAGUCUGGUAGGGGGACCUGGAAUUCCUGGUGUAGCGGUGGAAUGCGCAGAUAUCAGGAGGAACACCGGUGGCGAAGGCGGGGUCCUGGGCCAGUACUGACGCUGAGGAGCGAAAGCGUGGGGAGCAAACAG
rnacentral:rRNA from 1 species